UGGAAACAGAAAGUCGGUUUGAUGAAAUUAGUUAUGAAACUUAUGAUCCUCGAAAUACCAGGUUCGUAUCAGAUUUUAAUGCGCUAAAAUAAGUCAAUGGUAAGACCAAAAAGAAAGUUGUUCCUCCGACAAAGAAUAAAUUCACACGUCGAGUCUUGGCUGGUUUUCGAUCACAGGCGCAAAUGGGUGUAGCAAGUCUCUCAACAUCAUUAUCUAUUCUUUAUUUUUUUUUUUUUUUAAGAAUUGUGAAAAACAUCAAAACGAAUUUUUGGAGUAGGAUUCGGAUUUUAUAUAAAAUCCGUCUCACUCUUUUAUUGGACCUUGUGCAAAUUUAUAAAAAUAACACAUGUAUUCUGUAAAAAUGAGUUUUAAUAUUUUCGUAGAAAACCCUAAAUUCUAA
rnacentral:lncRNA from 1 species